ensembl:lncRNA
ACUUUACAAUAUUGUGAUGGUUUUUGCCAUACAUUCACAUGAAUCAGCCAUGGGUGUACAUGUGUUCUUCCUAUCAGAAAGUCAUUUUACAGUAUUAAAACAGAAAAAAAAUAAUGGCACCUGAGAUAAUUCGUCCCACAACCACUCCCUAGUUUCCAUUAAGAUUCUGAAGUUAUUUAUUUUGCUCUCCAUUGGCACUAAUUUGGCAACCUUACUCUCUCCAUCUACUCAAUGUGCGAUCUCUGUGAGCAGUAAUUCAACAUACUUGCACUGACCAGAAAUAUGUGACUUUGCUGUGUGUUAAAAAUAGAUUCCCCUUGUGAGCACUUGUGACUUGUCUAGUUUACUCUAGUUUCCGACUCCUGACAUGUCUUGGAACAUUACCUCUGUCCUUCAUUGGAUUACAGGACCUAUUGAGAAAGUCAGCGGUCACGGGCAUGUACAUGACACAGGCACUUUGAACUCUGGAGCAACGGAUACUCCUGCAAGCUCCUGCUCCCCCAAACGAGAAUCCAGUCCAGAGGCGCAGUGGUCUGAGACCCGCACUGCCUGUGCUGAGAGCAGAGUCCAGUUCCUGAGAUGAUUAUGCAGCCAUGCCUAUGUCUGACGUGGUCUUGGGGAGAAUUCCAGUCCCUCUCCAGAGACAGAUGUGUGGAAUCGUGCUCCACUGUGGGCCUGGGAGUCAUUGGGAAGAGGUGCACUCCGGGUCAGGGAAUUCUGAGACUAAAAUACAAGAAUCCUGUGUCUGAGGCACCAUCCAACCUGGACAGGAGCUCCCUGGGUGGAAGUGACUGUCAGCGCUCGGCUGAAAAUUGCAAGACUUCACCCAACAUGAGUUCAGGAAUGGAAAAUGAGGGCUCACAACCAGCCUGAGUUGCCAGGUAGGGCAAUUUGCCUAAAAUGUGCAUCUUUUUGAAAUCACCAAGCUCUUUCCAGACCACUGAUCCAUCACCAUCGCUGAAAAUCCCUCUUGUAUGUGAGGUCACAUCAUCUAGAUUUCCAUCUGUCUCCAUUUUCCUUGUCAACUUCUCCAAGUCACAUAACACAGUCUCAGGACACAAACUUACCAUUUUCUCUUUUCUAGUCUGUACGUUAUAGCUUCUGAACAAUGGCCCAACCAAUAAUGUACUCUCCUCAGUUUCCUCAAUUGCAGUGACUUUAUUUCUGUUAAAUUAUGGCCACCUGGAGCUUCUUUACUUUUUAAUUCUUACCUCAAAAGUUUACUUGUCUGUCCAUAAUAUUUUCUUUUUAAAAUAUUUAUUUAUUUAUUUGGCUCCACUGGGUGUUAUUUGCAGCAUGUAGAAUCUAGUUCCCCAACCAGCGGUCAAGCUUAAGCCCCCUACAUUGAGAGCAUGAGGUCUUAGCUACUGGACUGCCAAGGAAGUCCCUGUUCCUAAUUUUCUAUACUGGCUCCCACUGCCUAUUGUUUUAGGGUUCUCCAGGAAAAUAGAAUCAGUAGAAUGUGGGGAGGGGUGGAUGGAUAGAGAAAGAGAGAUCUAUUUUUAAGAAAUUUGCUCAUGCAGUUGUUGAGGCUGGCAUGUCCAACAUCUGAAGAGUAAGCAUUUUAGUUCAUUUAAGUUGCUGUAACAAAAUGUCACAUACUAGGUAAUGUAUAAACAACAGAAAUGUGUUUCUUGUGGUUUUAGAGGCUGGGAAGUCCAAGAUUAAGGUACCAGUGUGGAUGUAUUCUUAUGAAGGCCUCUUCCUGGUUCAUAGCAGGUAUCUUCUUACUGUGUCCUCACAGAGUAGAGAGGGCUAGUAAUCUGGGUUGGGCUUCUUUUGUUUUUUAAUUUUUUAUUGGAGUAUAGUUGCUUUACAAUGUUGUGUUAGUUUCUGCUGUACAGCAAAGUGAAUUGUGUAUACAAAUACAUAUAUGCCCUCUUUGCAUUUUCUUCCCAUUUAGGUCACCACAGAGCGUUAAGUAGAGUCCCCUGUGCUAUAUAGUAGGUUCUCAUUAGUUAUCUAUUUUAUACAUAGUAUCACACAAAGGUCCAUCUAGUCAAGGGUAUGGUUUUUCCAGUAGUCAUGUAUGGAUGUGAGAGUUGGACUGUGAAGAAAGCUGAGCACCAAAGAAUUGAUGCUUUUGAACUGUGUUGGAGAAGACUCUUGAGAGUCUUCUCUCCAUUCUGAAGGAGAUCAGCCCUGGGAUUUCUUUGGAAGGAAUGAUGCUAAAGCUGAAACUCCAGUACUUUGGCCACUUCAUGUGAAGAGCUGACUCAUUGGAAAAGACUCUGAUGCUGGGAGGAAUUGGGGGCAGGAGGAGAAGGGGACGACAGAGAAUGAGAUGGCUGGAUGGCAUCACUAACCCGAUGGAUAUGAGUUUGAGUGAACUCCAGGAGUCGGUGAUGGACAGGGAGGCCUGGCAUGCCGCAAUUCAUGGGGUUUCAAAGAGUCAGACAUGACUGAGCGACUGAACUGAACUGAACUGAACUGAUCAAUAGUGCAUGUAUAUCAGUCUCAAUAUCCCAAUUCAUCUAUCCCCUUACCCACCCCUUGGUAUCCAUGUUUGUAUUCUGUCUGUGUCUUUAUUUCUGCUUUGCAAAUAAAGUCAGCUGUAACGUUUUUCUAGAUUCCA